UCGAGAAUCUUCCCCAAUGGGCGAAAGCCUGAGGGAGCGACGCCGCGUGUAGGAUGAAGGUCUUCGGAUUGUAAACUACUUUUAUAAGGGACGAAUUCGUGACGGUACCUUAUGAAUAAGAGGUUGCUAACUCUGUGCCAGCAGCAGCGGUAAUACAGAGACCUCAAGCGUUAUCCGGAUUUAUUGGGCGUAAAGCGUCCGUAGGUGGCCAUACAAGUCUGGUGUUAAAGCUCAGAGCUUAACUCUGAAUCAGCACUGGAUACUGUAUGGCUCGAGAGUGGGAGAGGCAAACGGAAUUGCAGGUGUAGUCGUAAUAAGCGUUGAUAUCUGCAAGAACACCAAAUGCGAAGGCAGUUUGCUAUAACACUUCUGACACUGAGGGACUAAAGCGUGGGGAGCA
rnacentral:rRNA from 1 species